rnacentral:rRNA from 1 species
GGCUCCUUGUAACAAAAUAAGAUAAGGAGUCGGACCUGCCCAGUGAAAUUUUUUAACGGCCGCGGUACUCUGACCGUGCAAAGGUAGCAUAAUCAUUUGCCUUAUAAUUGAAGGCUAGUAUGAAUGGUUUGACAAGAAUACAGCUGUCUCUUUAUAAUUUGGUAGAAUUUUAUUUUAGGGUGAAGAAGCUCUAAUAUAAUUAAAAGACAAGAAGACCCUAUCGAGCUUUAAAAAAAUUUAUAGAAAUUAAUUAAUAAAUGGCUUUAAAAAAUUGACUAUUAAAUAUUUUGGUUGGGGCGACUGAGGAACAAAAAAAGCUUCCUUUAAAAUAAUAGUAACAUACAAGUAUUGAUCCAAAACUUUUGAUUAAAGGAAUUAGUUACCGUAGGGAUAACAGCAUUAUCUUUUUUGAGAGUUCUUAUCGAAAAAAAGGUUUGUGACCUCGAUGUUGGACCAGAAUAUCCUAAAGAUGCAGAAGUCUUUAAGGGUUGGUCUGUUCGACCAUUAAAAUUCU